rnacentral:rRNA from 1 species
AGAGUUUGAUUAUGGCUCAGGACGAACGCUGGCGGCGUGCUUAACACAUGCAAGUCGAACGAAGCGCUGAAGAGGAGUCCUUCGGGGCAAAUUUUCGGAGGCUUAGUGGCGGACGGGUGAGUAACGCGUGAGCAACCUGCCCAUAAGAGGGGGAUAACAGCUGGAAACGGCUGCUAAUACCGCAUAAGACCACAAAGUCACAUGGCAAAGGGGUCAAAGAUUUAUCGCUUAUGGAUGGGCUCGCGUCUGAUUAGCUAGUUGGUAGGGUAAAGGCCUACCAAGGCGACGAUCAGUAGCCGACCUGAGAGGGUGAUCGGCCACACUGGAACUGAGACACGGUCCAG